AAGACCUUGCGCUUUUGGAGCGGCCGAUGCCUGAUUAGCUUGUUGGUAAGGUAAAAGCUUACCAAGGCUUCGAUCAGUAGCUGGUCUGAGAGGACGACCAGCCACACUGGGACUGAGACACGGCCCAGACUCCUACGGGAGGCAGCAGUGGGGAAUUUUGGACAAUGGGGGCAACCCUGAUCCAGCCAUGCCGCGUGAGUGAAGAAGGCCUUCGGGUUGUAAAGCUCUUUCAGCCGGAACGAAACGGUUACGGAUAACACCCGUGACUACUGACGGUACCGGAAGAAGAAGCACCGGCUAACUACGUGCCAGCAGCCGCGGUAAUACGUAGGGUGCGAGCGUUAAUCGGAAUUACUGGGCGUAAAGCGUGCGCAGGUGGUUUUGUAAGUCAGACGUGAAAGCCCCGGGCUCAACCUGGGAACU
rnacentral:rRNA from 1 species